UCCCUGGUGGCUCAGAUGGUAAAGAAUCUGCCUGCAAUGCAGGAGAUUCAGGUUCGAUCCCUGGAUUGGGAA
rnacentral:tRNA from 1 species